CUUCUCCCAACUGUUUUUCCGUGUUCCACAGUUCAGCACAUCCUACCUGUACCUGCUGUAGGAUAGAGGCAAUUGAAGUCUGGUAAUGACACGCUGAGGCAGCCCCGGGAGCAGCAGACACACAAAAUGGCACACAUCCACCUGGGGGAAUCUUGGCUUUGAAUGUGUACAGCCAGGUGGCUCUCCCCAGAGGAGGAGGGGGACAGAACCGGCAACGGGAAAUUUGGGAGAGCCUGGCAGUCAAGGAAGGAAGGAAUUUGUAGAAAACCUGAAUGAGAAUUUUUGUCUUACUUAAAAAGAAGCUGCAAUUCCCAGAGGAUAUGGUGUCUGUUGGAGCAGUGGAAAUGUACAUUCAAGGGGUAAGGUGGUAGGCAGCUCUAAUUAGGACUUGGCCAUAAAGCACCAGGAUGUUAUCAACAAGAUCACAUGCAAAGGUGGAUUAAGAAAAAUAUGAACAGCAAGUCUGGGAAGAAAUGUGGCUGUCCCAGCUCAGAGGCAGAGCUGUGGCAUGGAACACUGCUGCUCACGUAUCAGAACUAUCCAUGGCACAAAAAGCAGGAGCGUGAGCUAUCUGAUUUUAUGUGAAAGUCCUUUAGAUUCCAAUUUCUAAAAGCACAAUCGGAUCACUUACUGCCACAAAGUUUACAGUAGGUGUGAGUGUGAAGGUUCCUUACAGAAGGAAAGAGACCUCAGUUGAACAGAACACAGGAAAACACUGAAAGAAGAAUUGAAGCAAAUGUCUGACUUGGUAAUAAUACUGAUGAACUACAUUUAAAAACAUUUUUUAAUUAUUAUUUGUAGGCUGGAAGCAUAUAAUCUAUUACUGUUUAUAGAAGGAAGUUUUCAUAUUCUGUGACAGAAUUUAAAUUAAAAUCCUCGCUACGGUGUCAUUCUGAUAAUAUUUUAAUUCUGGGACUGUUGCCAUCAUAUAUUUAUAACAUAGAAAUUUUUGCAAGUGGAAGAGCUAUCCAUAGUAGUCAACAGACUGAGUUAUGCCUGUGAUACUGCAGCUAUCUAUUACUUUAAUAUGCUAAGUAGGAUUUCACUGUAGCUGCUAGUAUGGAAAAUCUUGACUUUUAAAACACAGUAUGUUAACAGAUUGGAGAGAACAAUCCUGCUUGUUCUUUUACACUGAAUAUUUUCAUGGUUUGACGUUAGAUAUUCCCCUGCUAAGAAAACUGCUGUUGUUUACAUAAUGCUGAACUUGGGUUACCCUGCAGGGAGUUCAUGACACACAAGCCAAGCGUUUUAAUAAUUGUAACAACUAAAUAUGAUGGUGUUUAAUAUUCUUACAUUCAUAAUGAAGCUCUGUUGACUAUUCAGUCUGUUAACUCUUUUCUAAAAUGUUGUCUGCUACAGUGGAACAAAAUGCACCUUCUUCCUUUGUAUUAAGAUCAAUGAAAAACAGAAUUCAAGGACAGUCUACAUCAGAGCUAUUAUCAGCACUCUACAAAUUUGCAUAUAUAAUAUAAGAUGAUGGAUCUGUUAUUUUAGUGCUGUAUAGAACCAGCAAGGUAAUCUCUAAGUUCAACAUUUAAACAGUAAGUACAAUAAAAGCAUUGAGAGAUUUU